rnacentral:lncRNA from 1 species
UUUAUUAGUUAAAGUCUCCCCUGUUUCAGGGUAUGACCACUCUUACCCCUGUGCACUACAAACUGAAUUUCUCCCUGUACAAAAUUCUAACGACCAUGGAGUUUAUUUCCCCUAAAAAUAGACUCAAUAAGGAAUCCAUGCAUGUCAGGUAUGACUCUUAAUAAUUUUUGUAUAUAAGGUAUGACUCUUAAUAAUUUUUGUACAAUUUUUGGUGAAUUUCUAAAGUCGGAACAGGGGAUCUCUAAUUCAUUCAGACCCUAUUUCACAAGAAUUCAAAUAUCACACAAUAUGGAAUUCUUUUUCUUCCCCUGUUUCUUUCAUGUGAAAAUAGACUCAUUAAGCUUUAAUCCCAUAUUUUAUUCUGCC